GGCUGGUUAGCUCAGUCAGUUGAGCAUGGCGCUAACAAUGCCUAGGACGUUGGUUCGAUUCCCAUACGGUCCC
rnacentral:tRNA from 1 species